rnacentral:rRNA from 1 species
AGAACCUGAAACCCUGUGCCUACAAGCACCUAGAGCACGUCAAUGUGUGAUAGGGUACUUUUUGUAGAACGGUCCGGCGAGCGAUUGUAUGCAGCAAGGUUAAGGACUUAAGGUCUGGAGCCGAAGCGAAAGCGAGUUUGAAAAGGGCGUUAAGUUGCAUACAAUGGGCCCGAAACCGGGUGACCUACCCAUGGUCAGGUUGAAGUGGAAGUAAAAUUCCAUGGAGGACCGAACCGACCUCCGUUGAAAAGGCGGCGGAUGAACUGUGGGUAGCGGAGAAAUUCCAAUCGAACCCGGAGAUAGCUGGUUCUCCCCGAAAUAGUUUUAGGACUAGCCUCAAGUUAGAUACCUGGAGGUAAAGCACUGAAUAGCCUAGCGGCCGAGAGGUUAGCGAAGCUUAUCAAACUCAGAAUGCCAGAGUAUUGAUGCUUGGGAGUCAGACAGUGUCAGAUAAAUGUCAUUGUCAAAAGGGAAACAGCCCAGAUCUACAGCUAAGGUCCCAAAGUCAGGUUAAGUGGAAAACGAUGUGAAGAUACGUAGACAACCAGGAUGUUGGCUCAGAAGCAGCCACACAUUCAAAGAGUGCGUAAUAGCUCACUGGUCGAGCGUCUUUGCGCGGAGAAUUUAACGGGGCUAAACCUGACACCGAAGCUUAGGCAAUACAGCAAUGUAUUGGGUAGGGGAGCGUUGUAUACGCGGUGAAACAGUAGCGCAAGCGGCUGUGGAGUGUAUAGAAGUGAGAAUGCCGGAAUGAGUAGCGCGAAUGCAGUGAGAAUCUGCAUGGCCGAAAGCCUCAGGUUUCUGGAGGAAGGUUCGUCCGCUCCAGGUUAGUCGGGAGCUAAGGUGAGGCCUAACGGCGUAGCCGAUGCACAGACGGUAGAGAUUCCGUCACCACCAAAAGAGUUAAACACAGGGACACAUUUGAAGUCUCGGAGCCGGGUGUUGGUUCCGGUAGCGAUCGAGGGAAGUUAGUACCGAAGUCCGGGAUGGAAGAUGGCGAGAAAAGCUGUGUGUAUUUCUGCGGUGCCCGUACCGCAAACCGACACAGGUAGGUAGGAAGAAGAUUCUAAGGCCAACGGGAGAAGGGUUGUUAAGGAACUCGGCAAAUUGACCCCGUAACUUCGGGAGAAGGGGUGCUCUAGAGAUAGAGCCGCAGAGAAUCGGCCCAAGCAACUGUUUACCAAAAACACAGGUUUGUGCUAAAUCGAAAGAUGACGUAUACGAGCUGACGCCUGCCCGGUGCUGGAAGGUUAAGAGGAGAUGUGCAAGCAUUGAAUCGAAGCCCCAGUGAACGGCGGCCGUAACUAUAACGGUCCUAAGGUAGCGAAAUUCCUUGUCAGGUAAGUUCUGACCCGCAUGAAAGGCGUAAUGAUUUGGGCACUGUCUCGACAGCCCGCCCGGCGAAAUUGUAGUACCGGUGAAGAUGCCGGUUACCCGCGACAAGACGGAAAGACCCCAUGGAGCUUUACUGUAGCCUAAUAUUGGGUUUCGAUGUUGCAUGCACAGGAUAGAUGGGACACAGGGAAACAAGUGCUUUGGCAUUUGUGGAGUGGCCGUUGGGAUACCAUCCUUGCGAUAUUGGAAUUCUAACCUGCGCCUUUGAAUCAAGGCGGGGGACAUUGUUAGGUGGGCAGUUUGACUGGGGCGGUCGCCUCCUAAAGAGUAACGGAGGCGUUCAAAGGUUCGCUCAGCUUGAACGGAAAUCAAGCAAAAGAGUGCAAACGCAGAAGCGAGCCUAACUGCGAGACUGACGGGUCGAGCAGUAACGAAAGUUGGAGUUAGUGAUCCGGUGGUAUGUGAGUGGAAAUGCCAUCGCUCAACGGAUAAAAGUUACCCUGGGGAUAACAGGCUGAUCUCCCCCAAGAGUCCACAUCGACGGGGAGGUUUGGCACCUCGAUGUCGGCUCAUCGCAUCCUGGGGCUGUAUUCGGUCCCAAGGGUUUGGCUGUUCGCCAAUUAAAGCGGUACGCGAGCUGGGUUCAGAACGUCGUGAGACAGUUCGGUCCCUAUCUGUCGUGGGCGCAGGAUAUUUGAUGGGAGCUGUUCCUAGUACGAGAGGACCGGAGCGGACGUACCUCUGGCGCACCAGUUGUUCUGCCAAGGGCAUAGCUGGGCAACUAUGUACGGAUCGGAUAAACGCUGAAAGCAUCUAAGCGUGAAGCCGACCCAAAGAUAAGAUAUCCCAUUGUUUCAAACAAGUAAGACCCCUUGAAGACUACAAGGUUGAUAGGCACGAUGUGUAAGUGGAGUGAUCCAUUCAGCAAGCGUGUACUAAUAGGUCGAGGGCUUGACCAC